rnacentral:tRNA from 3 species
GGGCUCGUGGUCUAGUUGGUUAUGACGUUUCCUUGACAUGGAAGAGAUCCGGAGUUCGAAUCUCCGCGGGCCCA